rnacentral:rRNA from 1 species
GACGAACGCUGGCGGCGUGCUUAACACAUGCAAGUCGAACGGAAAGGCCCUGCUUUUGUGGGGUGCUCGAGUGGCGAACGGGUGAGUAACACGUGAGUAACCUGCCCUUGACUUUGGGAUAACUUCAGGAAACUGGGGCUAAUACCGGAUAGGAGCUCAUGCUGCAUGGUGGGGGUUGGAAAGUUUCGGCGGUUGGGGAUGGACUCGCGGCUUAUCAGCUUGUUGGUGGGGUAGUGGCUUACCAAGGCUUUGACGGGUAGCCGGCCUGAGAGGGUGACCGGCCACAUUGGGACUGAGAUACGGCCCAGACUCCUACGGGAGGCAGCAGUGGGGAAUAUUGCACAAUGGGCGGAAGCCUGAUGCAGCAACGCCGCGUGCGGGAUGACGGCCUUCGGGUUGUAAACCGCUUUCGCCUGUGACGAAGCGUUAGUGACGGUAAUGGGUAAAGAAGCACCGGCUAACUACGUG